GCAGGAUGCCUAGAGUUACUGUAAAACACGUUAACCAGCAGGAGUUCAUCAGAGCUCUGGCAGCCUUCCUCAAAACGUCCAGGAAGCUGAAAGUCCCCGAAUGCGUGGACACAGCCAAGCUGGCCAAGCAUAAGGAGCUUGCUCCCUACGAUGAGACCUGGUUCUACACACGAGCUGCUUCCACAGCACGGCACCUGCACCUCCGGGUGGUGCUGGGGUUGGCUCCAUGACCAAGAUCUAAGGGGGGUGUCAGAGAAACGGCGUCAUACCCAGCCACUUCAGUCGAGGCUCCAAGGGUGUGGCCCACUGGGUCCUCCAAGCCCUGGAGGGGCUGAAAAUGGUGGAAAAGGACCAAGAUGGGGGCUGCAAAUUGACACCUCAGGGACAGAGAGAUCUGGACACAAUUGCCGGACAGGUGGCGGCUGCCAAGAAGAAGCAUUAG